rnacentral:rRNA from 1 species
CCUACGGGAGGCUGCAGUGGGGAAUCUUGCGCAAUGGGCGAAAGCCUGACGCAGCAACGCCGCGUGCGGGAAGACGGCCUUCGGGUUGUAAACCGCUUUCAGUUGGGACGAAGGUGCACGAGUUAAUAGCUUUGUGUACUGACGGUACCUUCACAAGAAGCCCCGGCUAACUACGUGCCAGCAGCCGCGGUAAUACGUAGGGGGCAAGCGUUGUCCGGAAUCAUUGGGCGUAAAGCGCGUGUAGGCGGCUUGAUAAGUCUGCUCUGAAAGCCCGG